AUACGGAAACCUAACUUGGCGACUGGAGAUCCCACGGACCAAGUUCAAUAGGACAACCAGUUCUGUGUAACUUAAACAAUCGUAGCACUUAGGAGUUUUAACUUCAUCUUAUUCCUAUGAUGCAAUAAGUGCAACCUACGACGUUUAAAAGGUUAAGCUAUUGCUUUUAAUGACGUCUAUAUCUUGUCAAGUACAAGUGGGGUAUAGUAGGAUACUCUUUAUAGAUGCGGUCACCUAUGUUAGUGUGAGCUGGGUCGGCUCGUUGAGAAUUCUUAUAAAGGCUUAAAUUCUCUAAAGCACUCGCAAAACCCGAGAAUGUUCAGGGCCGAAAUGGACACAACCGAGAACUUGAAACACGCGUGUUUAGUACGGUGUUAAGUUUAUUGUCUUGGUUUACACAAACAGCCGACAGUUCAAGAUGAAAUAAUUCACUGAUUGGCUAAGUAAAUCCGAUAAACUUUAACUAGGGAAGGUUCAAGAUGAAAUAUUUCAC
rnacentral:lncRNA from 1 species